AGAAUAAUUCGUUAGGUGAGGUUCCUAUACAGAUAUAUGCUGCUGCCCGGAAACAUCGAGAGAUGCCAAUGGGUCAACAGGUACUACCGAAAUAAGGUUUUACUUAAUGUAGCUGGAUUUGUUUUUCCUAAGCUGUAUAGUGCUAAAACUCAACGAGUGAAGGUGUUU
rnacentral:sRNA from 2 species